CUUUGUUAGACAUGCACCCAAACACUGUUGCCUAUAAGAGUGAAAAAUACAUAUAGCCAGGAAACAGAUGGAAGGUCAAGACUCUGAGGGACUCCAUUUUCAAGAAGGAAAUUCCCUGGUCUCCAGGUCAGAGAUGAGCCUCCUGACCCGAAUUCUGAUGCGGUGUUUACACCAUGAUUUCUGCAGGAUGUGAAGUCACUUAGUGGAACGGCCCUGGCUUUUCCCAUCAUUUAAGACAUACUUGGAACAACUGGAAGUAGGAGUGCCUGCUUUCUAUUUACAGCAUUAACAAAGGCAUUCUUUUUUUAUUUUUUUGUUCAGGUCCAUGCUUAUCUGCGUUAAUCUAUUAAAUCACUUGAAUAGGCAAAAAAAAAAAAAGAAG